AGUUAGCUGACGAGUCCCAAAUAGGACGAAAUGCGCAUCCAGGAU
rnacentral:hammerhead_ribozyme from 1 species